rnacentral:rRNA from 1 species
CCUACGGGUGGCUGCAGUGGGGAAUAUUGGACAAUGGGCGAAAGCCUGAUCCAGCCAUGCCGCGUGUGUGAAGAAGGCCUUCGGGUUGUAAAGUACUUUCAGUGGGGAAGAAAGCCUUGGGGCUAAUACCCUCGAGGAAGGACAUCACCCACAGAAGAAGCACCGGCUAACUCCGUGCCAGCAGCCGCGGUAAUACGGAGGGUGCGAGCGUUAAUCGGAAUUACUGGGCGUAAAGCGCGCGUAGGCGGUCUGAUAAGCCGGUUGUGAAAGCCCCGGGCUCAACCUGGGAACGGCAUCCGGAACUGUCAGGCUAGAGUGCAGGAGAGGGAGGUAGAAUUCCCGGUGUAGCGGUGAAAUGCGUAGAGAUCGGGAGGAAUACCAGUGGCGAAGGCGGCCUUCUGGACUGACACUGACGCUGAGGUGCGAAAGCGUGGGUAGCAAACAGGAUUAGAUACCCGUGUAGUC